AUCUACGCCUAUACCAGCCUGAUCUCGGAAACUAAGCAGGGUCGGGCUUGGCCAGGACUUCGAUGGGAGAUCCCCUAGGAAUACCAGGAGUGGUGGGCU
ensembl:rRNA 5S_rRNA 5S ribosomal RNA